CGAUAAUCGGUGCGUUUACCUUUAAAUCCGUUCUAAUAACUACAGGAGGCUUCUCCCACGGUAUGGUCUCAUAAGGACUGAUUUGCAAUACGGAUGGUAAAGUAAUAGCCAUAUUUUGAACUACUUCCCAAAAUCUCACACCAGCUGGUCUAGUAAUGGUCGGUCUUGUUCGAUAGUAAUGGCUAUUGAUAUUCAGUAUCAUGUUGUUUGGGUGAAAGCCUUUAUUUUUGCCAUAUACUUCAAAAUUAACUGUUCUCUUCUGGUUUCCAGUGAUGGUAUACCCGAUUCACAGUAGAGGCUUUCUAUGGGACUUGUUGGAAAGGCCCCUAUACAGUACCUUAUUGUCGCAUUUUGAAUUUUGUUUAACUUACCCAGCAAAGAUUUGCGUGUUGAUGAAUAGGCAAUACACCCGUAAUCAAUUUGCGAUAGUAUCAGUGCUCUGUAUAUAUUCGUAAAUAUUUUGGCUCCGCACCCCAUUUAGUGUGAGCCAAAACUUUUAUUAUGUUAAGACUUUUUAGGCACUUCAGUUUCAAGUGUUCUAUGUGUGCACGCUAUGUUAGAGUUUGAUCGAACAUCAAGCCAAGGAACUUUGCGUUUUCAGAACAUCUGAUGGGUUUAUCAUUUAGAUAUAAGAGAGGACCAUAAUGCGGAGUUCUUAAUCUACAAAAGUGGACACACUGCGUUUUUUCCUCAGAAAAUACCAUCCCCAUAUUUUUUCCAUUUUCGAGAAUUUGGUUGAUCGCAGGCUGGAGCUUCCUAGUUAUUUCACCAAUUGUCUUUCCAGCACAGAAAAUAGCAAUAUCGUCUACAUACAUACAUUUCGAUAUAGAAUUUGGUACAUUUAUAGCUAUGUCAUUUAUUGCCAGGGCAAAUAAAGUGCAGCUAAGGGUAGAAACCUGAGGAACUCCAUUUUCAAGCAUCUUUGCUUCAGAUACUGUGUUACCUAUCCUCACUCGGAAACGUCUGUCUGAUACCAAGUUUCCUCUGAGGUUUAGUUGGUGCAUCUUUUCUAAUAUUUUGUAUCUCCACGUCAUGUCAUACGCUCCCUUUAUAUCGAAGAAUACGGCUACUAAAUGUUCUCGCUAUCGAAAAGCCUCCUGUAUUGCAGUUUCAAGAAAAAGCAGAUGAUCGGUGGUCGAUCGAAACUUUCUAAAGCCUGCUUGGUAAGAUACUAAUGCAUUUUCUUUUUCUAGCUGCCAUUGCAAUCUGUUAUUAACCAUUCUCUCCAACAGCUUCCCCAUGCAGUACGUCAAACUAAUCGGAUAACUUAUCCAUAACUUAUUGGAUGUAAUGGAUUUUUCCCAGGUUUAUUUAUUGGUAUUACAAUAGCCUCUUUCCAUUCGUUGGGUUUCAGGUGUGAGGUUAUUCAGCAUUUCGUUACAGAUCUCAUCUGGACCUGGUGCUGUUUUUUUCCCAUUUUGCAUGGCAAACUCUAGUUCCUCAAAUGUGAACGUUUCAUUAUACUCUAAAUUGCUAAGUCAGGUUGGUAAUUGGCGAAGCUGCUGUCAUUUGCAAAUUUAUCAGCCAGUACUCUUCGUGUCAGCACUCGUCGUUAUAGAAGAUGUAUACUGUCUCCAGUUCUGAGUCUUACUUUCUAGGACGGUUCGUCUGCUUAUGGCCCUCGCCCUUUUAAACGCAAUGUGAUUUUGAGUAGAUGGUUGACGCUGGUACCGUCGAAACGCCACCUUUUUAUUCUCGACAGCCAGUUAUUCCACCACGAAUACUCCAUUAAAAGAAAUUUGCCAAAGUUAUUCGUCUAUAAUACAAUUCAUACAAAAUGAUGGUGGAAAAAAAAUUAUAUUAUUGACAGUACCACCCGUACCCAAAAUGCAAAAUAAAAAGGAACAUUAGGAUAAAUUACAAAAAUGUAAUGCAUAUAUAAUGAAUUUAAGAGAAG